GGAAUCGAACGGGGCGAUUCGUUGGCGGCAAACACAACGGCGGAGUGCUUAGAAAUCGCGAAUAAAUGUGUCGGUCACGGUAUAAGACGUGAGAGAAGAGAAACGGGGGCCACCGGCAAGCCGAGGUUUAUUUUUAGUGGCAAGCGCCAAGCAGCAAGCGGAGUGGUAUAAACGGCGCGCACAGUGGCCCGAUGAAGCGGCGUUUGUGACAUCAAAUUUCUCCUCUCUUGCCACCUCGAGAACGGACACCCCGAGACAUCUCGCCGUCGGACCAUCCACGCUGUUUGUCCUCCGAUUAUUUGGAGGACAGUGGAGCAGGGACGUUAGGGAUCAAUAAGAGCUGGUAGCUUAAGAGAAGAAUAUUAGAGUUGGCUUAGGCCAACUACGGUAACUAAGGCAAAAUGGCGACAAUAGAUGGCCGACCAGCCCAAUAUGGAAUUACUCUUAAGCAACUUCGGGAGCUCAUGGAGCACAGAGGUCGUGAAGGUAUCAAUAAGGUCAAUAGUUAUGGUGGUGUACAAGAGAUAUGUAAAAAGUUAUAUACUUCACCCAGCGAAGGUCUCAGUGGGUCGACAGCAGACAUUCAACAUAGGAGAGAUACAUUUGGCUCCAACAUGAUUCCUCCAAAGCCACCUAAGACGUUUUUAACAUUAGUAUGGGAAGCUUUACAAGAUGUUACAUUAAUCAUCUUGGAAAUAGCAGCUUUGGUUUCGUUAGGUCUUAGUUUUUAUCAACCAGUGGAUGAAGAAAGCACGGGGUCGUCGUUUGAAGAAGACGAAGGAAAAUAUGGUUGGAUUGAAGGACUCGCUAUAUUGAUUUCUGUUAUUGUGGUGGUGAUAGUGACGGCAUUCAAUGACUAUUCCAAAGAAAGACAGUUUAGGGGUUUACAAAAUCGAAUCGAAGGAGAACACAAAUUCUCUGUUAUUCGACAAGGAGAAGUUAAACAGAUUUCGGUAUCUGACAUUGUUGUAGGUGACAUAUGUCAGAUAAAAUAUGGAGACCUACUACCUGCAGAUGGUAUCCUUAUACAAAGUAAUGAUCUUAAAGUGGAUGAAUCCAGUUUAACUGGAGAAUCGGAUCAUGUAAAGAAAGGAGAAGCGUUCGAUCCUAUGGUUCUUUCAGGCACUCACGUGAUGGAGGGAUCUGGAAAAAUGUUAGUGACGGCGGUAGGUGUUAACUCUCAGGCUGGUAUAAUCUUCACCUUGUUAGGUGCUGCUGUUGACCAGCAAGAGCAAGAGAUAAAGAAGAUGAAAAAAGAGGCUAAAAAGCAGCGGAAGAAGAAGUCAUUACCAGGAGACGAAGCGGCAGAAAUUACCGGAAACAGCCAUGCUGUUGGGAGUGGUGGCGGAGGUGGUGGUAAACACGAGGGUGGAGAAAAUCAUCAUGGAGGUGGACAAGCAAGUGGCGGAGAGAGUAGUAAGAAGGAGAAGAGCGUACUGCAAGCUAAAUUAACAAAGCUCGCCAUACAGAUCGGUUAUGCCGGCUCGACCAUAGCAGUACUCACCGUGAUCAUUCUUGUUAUACAAUUUUGUGUGUCGACUUUCGUAAUCGAUGGAAAGCCAUGGAGGAACACUUAUGCCGGUGAUCUGGUACGGCAUUUGAUUAUCGGUGUGACUGUCCUCGUCGUAGCCGUACCCGAAGGCCUUCCUCUAGCUGUCACCUUAUCUCUCGCUUAUUCCGUCAAGAAAAUGAUGAAGGACAACAAUUUGGUGCGGCAUUUGGAUGCUUGUGAAACGAUGGGUAACGCUACCGCCAUUUGUUCGGAUAAAACCGGAACCCUAACGACCAACCGAAUGACAGUGGUGCAGUCCUACUUGUGCGAGAAAAUGAGCAAAACGGUUCCAAGUUUUUCCGAAAUCCCAAGCCACGUCGGAAAUUUAUUAAUUCAAGCCAUCUCCAUUAAUUCGGCAUACACGUCCAGAAUCAUGCCCUCGCAAGACCCUUCAGAAUUGCCGAUGCAAGUCGGUAACAAAACCGAAUGUGCCUUACUUGGAUUCGUAGUGGCCCUGGGCGAAAAAUAUCAAACGAUUAGAGAUGACCACCCUGAGGAAACUUUCACGCGGGUCUAUACUUUCAAUAGCGUUAGGAAGAGCAUGUCCACCGUUAUCCCAAGAGAAGGUGGUGGUUACAGGCUUUUCACCAAGGGCGCUUCCGAGAUCAUCAUGAAGAAAUGUGCCUUUAUCUACGGUCGCGACGGUCAUCUGGAAAAAUUUACGAGAGAGAUGCAAGAACGUCUAGUGAAGAACGUGAUAGAACCAAUGGCGUGCGACGGUCUACGUACAAUUUCGAUCGCAUAUCGCGACUUUGUACCGGGGAAGGCGGAGAUCAACCAAGUACACUCGGACAACGAGCCAAAUUGGGACGACGAGGAAAACAUCGUGAACAAUUUAACAUGUCUCGGUAUAGUUGGUAUCGAGGAUCCGGUACGUCCCGAAGUACCAGACGCCAUUAAAAAGUGCCAAAAGGCUGGUAUAACGGUGCGAAUGGUAACCGGUGACAAUAUUAAUACGGCUAGGUCGAUCGCCUUGAAGUGCGGCAUAUUUAAACCGAAUGAGGACUUUCUUAUUCUCGAAGGGAAGGAGUUUAAUCGAAGAAUCAGGGACAGUAACGGUGAGGUACAACAACAUCUGUUGGACAAAGUGUGGCCGAAAUUAAGGGUUUUGGCUAGAUCAUCGCCAACCGAUAAGUAUACUUUGGUAAAGGGCAUUAUCGACAGUAAAGCUACGAGCAGUCGCGAGGUUGUAGCCGUGACCGGUGACGGUACGAACGAUGGUCCGGCAUUGAAAAAAGCUGACGUUGGAUUUGCAAUGGGUAUAGCUGGAACGGACGUGGCCAAGGAAGCUUCCGACAUCAUUUUGACGGACGAUAAUUUUUCUUCCAUCGUUAAGGCCGUUAUGUGGGGCAGGAACGUCUACGAUAGUAUAGCAAAGUUCUUGCAAUUUCAGCUGACCGUUAAUGUUGUAGCUGUUAUCGUCGCCUUUAUCGGAGCAUGUGCUGUACAAGAUUCACCAUUAAAAGCGGUACAAAUGUUGUGGGUUAAUUUGAUUAUGGACACGCUAGCCUCGCUUGCCCUUGCUACCGAAAUGCCUACGCCGGAUCUUUUACUUCGCAAGCCCUACGGACGCACAAAACCGCUCAUCUCAAGGACGAUGAUGAAAAAUAUUCUUGGUCAGGCGGUUUAUCAGUUGACUGUUAUUUUUAUGCUUCUUUUCGUUGGUGACAAGAUGCUGGAUAUCGAUACUGGUCGAGGAGUUGCGGCUAAAGGUGGCGGACCCACUCAACAUUUCACCGUCAUCUUUAAUACCUUCGUCAUGAUGACUCUUUUCAACGAAUUUAAUGCCAGAAAAAUUCACGGUCAGCGCAAUGUCUUCCAGGGAAUAUUCACCAACCCUAUAUUUUAUUCUAUUUGGAUCGGCACGUGUUUUUCGCAGGUGAUCAUCAUACAAUACGGUAAAAUGGCCUUUAGCACAAAAGCUCUUACGUUAGAACAAUGGAUGUGGUGCCUGUUCUUCGGAAUCGGGACGCUAUUGUGGGGCCAAGUAGUCACGACUAUUCCUACACGGAAGAUACCCAAAAUUCUCUCAUGGGGCCGCGGCCAGCCGGAUGAUAUCGGUGCUAUCAAUCUAGGAGACGAGAAAUUCGACCCAGACUCGGAUAAAAAGCCGCGAGCAGGACAAAUACUAUGGAUCCGUGGUCUAACACGGCUACAGACACAGCCAGCGGAACCCAUUCGAGAGACUGAGGUAUAACGAGGCGGCAGUCUUGCCAGCCGCCACACUUUUCCUGUCGGAGUACAAACAACUUCGAGUAAUCAGAGCGUUCAAGUCGACUCUGGAAGAUCUGGAGGAGCGUCGCUCUGUCCAUAGUUUACACAGCUUACACAGUAUGCGCAGCUCACGCAGCCACACCGGGCCAAGGCCAUUAUCCGACUUCACAUACAUUGACGAAGACCCUACAAA
rnacentral:misc_RNA from 1 species